AUUGAACGCUGGCGGAAUGCUUUACACAUGCAAGUCGAACGGCAGCACGGACUUCGGUCUGGUGGCGAGUGGCGAACGGGUGAGUAAUAUACCGGAACGUGCCCAGUCGUGGGGGAUAACGUAGUGAAAAUUACGCUAAUACCGCAUACGAUCUAUGGAUGAAAGCGGGGGACCUUUGGGCCUCGCGCGAUUGGAGCGGCCGAUAUCGGAUUAGGUAGUUGGUGGGGUAAAGGCUCACCAAGCCAACGAUCUGUAGCUGGUCUGAGAGGACGACCAGCCACACUGGGACUGAGACACGGCCCAGACUCCUACGGGAGGCAGCAGUGGGGAAUUUUGGACAAUGGACGCAAGUCUGAUCCAGCCAUUCCGCGUGCAGGACGAAGGCCUUCGGGUUGUAAACUGCUUUUGUACAGAACGAAAAGGUUUCUACUAAUACUAGGAGCUCAUGACGGUACUGUAAGAAUAAGCACCGGCUAACUACGUGCCAGCAGCCGCAGUAA
rnacentral:rRNA from 1 species